rnacentral:rRNA from 1 species
AGCGAACGUUAGCGGCGGGCCUAACACAUGCAAGUCGAGCGAGAAAGGUGGCUUCGGCCAUCAGUAAAAGCGGCGGACGGGGUGAGUAACACGUAGGUAAUCUUCCCUUGAGCGGGGGACAACGUUUCGAAAGAACGCUAAUACCGCAUACGUUUCCAGGGACUCUGGUCUUUGGAAGGAAAGCUAGGUCGCAAGAUCCGGCACUCGAGGAGGAGCCUGCGUCGCAUCAGCUAGNGGUGGGGUAACGGCCUACCAAGGCGAAGACGCGUAGCUGGUCUGAGAGGAUGAUCAGCCACACUGGGACUGAGACACGGCCCAGACUCCUACGGGAGGCAGCAGUGGGGGAAUAUUGGACAAUGGGCGCAAGCCUGAUCCAGCCACGCCCGCGUGAGU